GACGAACGCUGGCUGCGUGCUUAACACAUGCAAGUCGAGCGGAAAGGCCCUUCGGGGUACUCGAGCGGCGAACGGGUGAGUAACACGUGAGUAACCUGCCCCAGACUUUGGGAUAACCCUCGGAAACGGGGGCUAAUACCGGAUACGACACAGCUUCGCAUGGGGUCUGUGUGGAAAGUUUUUCGGUUUGGGAUGGGCUCGCGGCCUAUCAGCUUGUUGGUGGGGUGAUGGCCUACCAAGGCGACGACGGGUAGCCGGCCUGAGAGGGCGACCGGCCACACUGGGACUGAGACACGGCCCAGACUCCUACGGGAGGCAGCAGUGGGGAAUAUUGCACAAUGGGCGGAAGCCUGAUGCAGCGACGCCGCGUGAGGGAUGACGGCCUUCGGGUUGUAAACCUCUUUCAGCAGGGACGAAGCGUAAGUGACGGUACCUGCAGAAGAAGCGCCGGCCAACUACGUG
rnacentral:rRNA from 1 species